CUCGUCACACUAUCAUUAACUGAAUCCAUAGGUUAAUGAGGCGAACCGGGGGAACUGAAACAUCUAAGUACCCCGAGGAAAAGAAAUCAACCGAGAUUCCCCCAGUAGCGGCGAGCGAACGGGGAGGAGCCCAGAGCCUGAAUCAGCAUGUGUGUUAGUGGAAGCGUCUGGAAAGGCGCGCGAUACAGGGUGACAGCCCCGUACACAAAAGCGCAUGUGCUGUGAGCUCGAUGAGUAGGGCGGGACACGUGGUAUCCUGUCUGAAUAUGGGGGGACCAUCCUCCAAGGCUAAAUACUCCUGACUGACCGAUAGUGAACCAGUACCGUGAGGGAAAGGCGAAAAGAACCCCGGCGAGGGGAGUGAAAAAGAACCUGAAACCGUGUACGUACAAGCAGUGGGAGCCC
rnacentral:rRNA from 1 species